rnacentral:lncRNA from 1 species
CUGAAGUAGAAUCUGGUUCUUCUGAAGCGGUUGAGCUUAAAAAGGAAAAGGAGAGGAGGGGAAAAAGGAAAGAAUUAGAAUGUCUGCCUGAAGAACAGGUGAAUUAUCCAUUUCCAGGGAAGAAAAGGAUGCAGUCCUCAAGCCAAUUCUAUAACUGCAUGAUGGGGAAGAAAUUUCAACUUACCCAAAUAGACAGGUCCCAGGAUGCAGUGCAGCACUGCAGUAUCAACUAAGGUAUCAGAAGUUCUUCCCAACCACCUGAUACUUUCUACAACAAAUUCCAGAGGCAAGAUUGUCUAUAGAAAACUUUAUCAGUAGGAAAAAUAUUCUCUGGCCCCAGUGGAAGAGUCCAUCCCAGAUUCUGCUAACUACAAGGCAGCUAGUAGCACAGAACAUAGACUACUAAGCCUGGAGUGAAGAAGCCUGAGUUCAAAUCCAGCGUCAAGCACU